AAUCUAUCUCCCUAUCAGGUGGUAUCCCUGGGAGAUCAUUAGGAAAGACUUCCAUCUAUUCAUUAACUAUGGGGACGUACUAGAAAGAAGGAAUUUCAGUAUUAGAAUCUUUUACCUGAAUAAGAUGAUACAAACAACCCUUAGAUAUAAGUUUCCAGGAUGUGAGAUAAGAUAUGAAUUUCCCUAUGGGUGCUAAAGAAUACCGUUCCCACUCUAUCACUGGUUCCUUAAAAAAGGAGA
rnacentral:lncRNA from 1 species